rnacentral:lncRNA from 1 species
AUCUCAAUCUAUAUAAUUAUGGGUGGCAGCUCAGGGGAUGAAAUACCUAGCAUGGGCCGAACUCAAUCUAUAUAAUUAUGGGUGGCAGCUCAGGGGUUGAAAUACCUAGCAUGGGCCGAUCUCAAUCUAUAUAAUUAUGAGUGGCAACCCAGGGGCAAAAGCCUAGCAUGGGUCGAUCCCGAUUUGUAUAUUUAUGAGGAUAGCAUUCCAGGGGUUAAAUGCCUAGCAUGGGUCAUUCUCUUCUACCACUGACCAGUUGCUCACUUCUAUUACAUGCCUUACAUAGAUUAUGAAGCAGCGAAGAUUAUGAAAAGAAUGUUAUGUAUAGUGAUCCAAGUAUAGUAAUAUAUCACGUGCCCAAGUGCUAAUAGUCAUAUCCACAAAAAAUUGAUUAACGUGUUGAGAAGGGUAAAACAUGGCAUUGUGAUCCUAUAGGUUGUUCCUAGUUUCCAGAUGCCCCAAUUGUUCAUGUGUUUAUAUGUUCUAAUAGUUCACUUGUUCACAUGUUAUCCAUUCUAAUAGUUCACGUGUCAUGUGUUCACUUAUUUUCUUUGACGUGCCAUCUGUUCUCAUAAUUCACCUUUUCAUAUGUGACCUAUUCUCAUAUUUAUCUGUUCGAGUGUCGCAUAAUCUCACAACUCACAUGUCAUUGCCUUCUUGUUAAUGUGUUAAUGCCCUUGAUGGCUCAAUUGUUUUUUUAUUACAUUCUUACAGAUCACUCGCUUACGUGCGUGUCUGCUAGUCCAUUUGCUUAUAUAACUACAUGUGUCCAGUUCACCUGCUUAUAUGGUUGUCUUAUAAUCCAUUUGCUUAUGUGACUACAUGUCUUAUAAAUCAGUUUAUCAAAUGCUACAUGUCUUCACAACUCACUUAUUCACGCGUCACAUGUUCCCAUAACUUACUUGUCCUUAUGUUAAAUCCCAUUUUGUUCUCCUCCACUUGUAGGUUAUAAACUCCAUGUGGCUUAUCAGUUCUUCUGCUAUUAUCCCCUCAUUGCUUACUUGCUUAAGUGAUACAUAUGUUAUAAUAAAGUAUCAUGAUGAAAUAGAGAAAAAAAAGGGAAUUUAAUUAUGUCUCAUUUUAUACCGAUUCAUACUGCUUUGAUAUAUGUAUAUGUGUCAUCCACUUGGGCAAGAAGAGGUACGUCAACUUAAAUGAUCAUAAGUUUUUGCAAUAAGAUCUAUUGAAUGUUUGCAGUUUCCAACUGUUGCUACUCUAAUAUGUCGUGUUCUCUUAUAUGAUUUUCAGUAACUAUAGUGUUUUCAAUUUGCCUUUCAUACGAGUAAAAUUUCUAUAUCUAGUCACGUCCUUUUAUAUUAUGUCAGGGGUGCUGCACUCAAACUGCAGGUACACACGUUUUAGAUGGGAAGUUUCUUGGCGGGAACCCCUUGUAGAUUUUCAUCUAUAGUCAGUGAUACCCAAUUCCACUAAGGGCCUUACAUUUUUCAUAUGAUUUACAUAGAUGGCUUAAGGUACGACGGGGCCUUGUCUCGACAUAUUUAUGGAUCAUGUCAUAUGUUAGAGGUUUCGUAGACUAUGUCCAAAUCAGGUUCUUAUAGUUAGAGUAUGUCUUCCAUACUGCCCUAUGGGUCCACUAAGAUAGCAUAUGCACUGAUGACUUUUAUAUGUAUAAAAUAAUAGCUUCUUAUUCUAGUUGAUGAUCAAUGCAUCACUUAAUAUAUUUUGCUGUUGUCCCUUGUAGGUAUGUUCAGUUAAGUGGUCCGCUCGGUCAUGUGAGGUAUCAAGUUAAGGCACCGAGUG